UGAGGAAUAUUGCACAAUGGGGGCAACCCUGAUGCAGCAACGCCGCGUGGAGGAUGAAGGCUCUUGGGUCGUAAACUCCUUUUCUGAGGGAAGAGAAAGGACGGUACCUCAGGAAUAAGGUCCGGCUAACUACGUGCCAGCAGCCGCGGUAACACGUAGGGACCGAGCGUUAUCCGGAAUUACUGGGCGUAAAGGGCACGCAGGCGGCUAGUCAAGUCUGAUGUGAAAGCUCCCGGCUCAACUGGGAGAGGUCGUUGGAAACUGAUUAGCUUGAGGCAAUGAGAGGAGUACAGAAUUCAUGGUGUAGUGGUGGAAUGCGUAGAUAUCAUGAGGAAUACCAGUGGCGAAAGCGGUACUCUGGCAUUGACCUGACGCUCAUGUGCGAAAGCGUGGGGAGCGAACGGGAUUAGAUACCCCCGUAGUCC
rnacentral:rRNA from 1 species